rnacentral:misc_RNA from 1 species
CGACCUAGCAGAGGAUGAGAAGGAAGCGCUGCGCGAAUACGCCGAUCUCAUGCGCGAGAAGCAACAUCUCUGGGGUGUUUAAGAUUUGCGUAAUGGAGAUAGCAGCAACCAUUACACUUGUCUAAAAAUCAUUUGACUUCAAGCACAUUGAGGAUCCGGCGCCUAUCGGAAUCCGUCAUGUAUUCGACGCUUUCCUUGAGACGGUAUCCAGUCUGCACGCACAGCUUCUCGAGGUCAUCAGGAGAGGUGAAGGUAAAUUCGAAGCGGCCGUAUGGAACCUCAAGAACGUAUGUAUCACCGUCUCGACCGGUGGAGUUCGUGCUUGAGGAGGGAUCAG